rnacentral:rRNA from 1 species
CCUACGGGUGGCAGCAGUGAGGAAUAUUGGUCAAUGGACGAGAGUCUGAACCAGCCAAGUAGCGUGAAGGAUGACUGCCCUAUGGGUUGUAAACUUCUUUUAUAUGGGAAUAAAAUGCUCCACGUGUGGGAUUUUGUAUGUACCAUAUGAAUAAGGAUCGGCUAACUCCGUGCCAGCAGCCGCGGUAAUACGGAGGAUCCGAGCGUUAUCCGGAUUUAUUGGGUUUAAAGGGAGCGUAGGUGGAUUGUUAAGUCAGUUGUGAAAGUUUGCGGCUCAACCGUAAAAUUGCAGUUGAAACUGGCAGUCUUGAGUACAGUAGAGGUGGGCGGAAUUCGUGGUGUAGCGGUGAAAUGCUUAGAUAUCACGAAGAACUCCGAUUGCGAAGGCAGUUCACUGGACUGCAACUGACACUGAGGCUCGAAAGUGUGGGUAUCAAACAGGAUUAGAUACCCUUGUAGUC